rnacentral:lncRNA from 1 species
UACACUAGUACCCAGAAAUCAAACUGAAGAGAAAUUUUGUUCAUUAAUGCUUUUGAUUUAGUGGCUUACAAAUUGAAUUGCAGAAUUGCAAACGCAGUAUAACCGAGCAUCUGGCGAGUCUGCUGUAGUCUGUGACGUCUUUGCCUCAGGGGCUGCACGAAGGGUUUCGCCAGACGACUGACCACAAUUCCUCCUAUUGUUCAUUCAAGGUUUUGGAGAAGAAAGAGUGCUGACGUCGUGAAGACUCUCACCCAUGAAGAACAACAAACUCUGCAGAUUCUUUAUGACUGAGGAGCACCGCAACAUUCAAACGGGAGAAAAUACAGGAAUAAACAUCCACAAGCACUGUGGACCCACUGAAAUACAGAAUACACGACAAACACAUUCCCUUUGCUCAAGUCUGAGCGGACAGUGGACAUCUACAGGAUAUUAUCAAGUAUGAGAUGAAUGUAAACGCUGCCUAAUUCUUCUUUAGUCUCCUGCAGUACAGUUAUACAGUUAUACAUAAGGGUUUUUUUUAUGAAUUCGUAGACGCUUCGUAGCUCUCCACAGCACCAACCACAGAACUGAUGGCAAGUUUGAGGACAUUUCAUCAGGCAGAAACUGCACAAUAACCUCCAAAAACACACAAGCAAUGGCCAAAUCCCAUCACUGGACAUUAAACAUGGGGGCGUCAAAGAAAUAUAUACAAAAGUACUUAAUUUAGCUAAGAACAAAAAACGUGAUUCCCAGUGGUUACUGAUCUUUAGCGGUGAUCAUGCAAUCACAAGGCGGCUGAACACGAGCUGUAGAGAUUUUAAGACAACAGACGUCUUUACCAGAGAUAAAACCACCUUAAAGUGACGUGACGAUACAGGGAUCACACUUACAUAGCAUAGGUCCAAAAUCUAUUUUAUAUUUUUAGGAUUUUUUUCUCCCACCUUGUUACACGGGUGGUGUUCCCAGUCAAAAAUGAGCAACCUAAAAUAAAUGCUUAUACAUUUCUUGUUAUGCUUUAUUUUUUUUUUUUUUUUUUUACCUAAAUAAUGCAUCAACUUGUUUUCUUUCUAGUUAGUCACAGGUUUUGGAUUCUUUUUGCAACUGAUUGAUUGUAGGCCUCGUUGAUUGAGCAGAUGCACCUCAGUUUUUGAGAGAACAUUGAAAGAAAACAUGUUGACAAAAAGAUUGAAUCCAAUAUUUGGUGAUAAUAUAGCAGAAUGAAAUAUUCACAAGCUAUUUUUUUUUUAAACACUGGCCAUUUUUGACCAGAAACACCAAAUUAGGCAAAAGAUUUCUGCAACGAGGUUUGACAGAUUCACCAUAAUUAAACUGGCCUGUUUUGUGAUUUUCAAAAACGUAUUAUCUACACAUUGUCUAGAAAAGUAAAUCUUUCCCUCUUCACCAGCAAGUUACUAAAACUAUCCAUCACUGUGGAUAUUAAUGUCUAUCAGUUAUAUUUUUCAGGACAUAGCAGUGAAAAUAUAUAGUUUGAUCUUAAAUAUAUAACAUAACUUUAUAUAUGUGGUAAAAACUAAAAACUCUUUUCCAAAUAUAUGUAAGCCAUUGUGCUAAAUCAGCUUAUAAUAUAUAGAUAUUACAGUUUAAGAGGACACAUCAACAGAUCGAUGAGCUGUAAUGUUGCAUAACUACAGUAGUUUCCCAAGCUGCUAUUGCUAAUGUACACAAUAAAACUGCUCCUUCUUUUUUUAUAGCUGUAUAUAUAUAAAAAAAAAAUCUAUGCCAAAACAUAAAAAAGCAUGUUUUUAACAUGGUCAUCCAGAAGUAAAUUCAACUUUGAAGUAAAUUCAAAUUCAUCUGAAUAUAAGCAUAUAUGAAAAGCAUUAAUAGCAAAACGAGUCUCUAUAAAAAUAACAACAGAACUUGUGAAUGUAAUAAUAAUCCUAAUAAGGGAUGUUGGAUUGCAGUAAGAAAUUCACGAAAAUGAAGGGUUGUUGAUUCAUUAAUAUGUAAAAAACAAUAUUUAGAGCUGGAAGGUCUUUGAAUGUCAAAGGAAACAUCACAGAAACCUCUACUUCACUAUCAAAGUACUUGCACACACAAUCUGACAUCGGCACAUGAAACUCUGUUACUCAGCUGGAUCAAAUCAAAGAUGCGGUGCAAAUCAAUGGCACAAAUACAGUAGGUACAUUGUAAACAAAUUCCACCUACUUCAACUUAAAAACUGAAGUUCAGCUGCUUAUAGAAUAUUCUAAGUAUCAAAUUGGCUGUAAAAAUAAUUUCAGCUUCAAUUAUAUUAAACUGACUUCAAAAAUCGAGUUGAAUGUUAUCACUUAAAAAAUGAAGACAAAAUUAUUUUGAUGAGUUGAAGUUAUGUUGCUAUGACUUACUGAUCAUAGAAUUGGUUUAUAAUAGACUUUGACUUUCUUCGUGCUGUUUGUGAUCCUGUAAAUCUUUCAGACCCUCGACGUGAAGCUGGUCUUAAUUUGCUCCAUAAUCAAACACCGGUUUCACAGAAGAGCACAAAAAUCCCAGCAGGAAAUGAAAGCCGAGCUGAACAGGAUGUUCUCUUUUCUGUCUGUUGCUCUUUCCUGAGGACAUCAGAAGCAGGUUUAGGAACAGGUUUACUGCCACCUUUAUCAAAUGCACAGAUGUACGACGUGCAGAUACACACACGCACACACACAUUUAAAAAAGAGAAAUAAAACACAACUGUCCCUUUUGUAUUUGAUGAGCUACUACUGUAAACACUAACAUACAGUCAGCUCCAAACGUCUGAGACAUUUAGAAUUUAAUAUUAUAUAUAUAUAUAUAUAUAUAUAUUAUUUUUUUUAGAAAUGACACUAUUGUUCAAAAGUUUGGGUUUGGUAAGAUUUAUUAUUUUUUUUAAAUAAUUCAUUUAUUUGAUCAAGAAAUACAGUUAAAAAUAGUAAUAUUGUGAAAUAUUAUUUCAAUUUAAAAUAACUGUUUUCUAUUUGAAUAUAU